rnacentral:misc_RNA from 1 species
GACAUACGCUACGCUACUGUUGUAUUGAAUCAGUCGAGCAACGUGCGUCACUCAACGUUUUUAAUUUCUUUUAGGUUAUUAUUAAUUUUUUUUUUACUUGUAAAAUGACGGAAAUUGUUAUAAAUUAAUUUAAAUUGUUAAAUUAAACAGUAAAAAAAUGAUAGAGUUAGUACUAAUCUCUUGGCUUACUGAGAACGAAACUAUGUGUUUGUGGCCACCAAAAAAAGAUGAAGACAAAAGGUGAUUAAUUGGUUGAACUUGAAAUCGGGCCUUUCAUGACAUGGUUAAAGUAACCAAUCAAGAUUAUCAGCUAAGCUAAGGAUUAUAAUCAAGGAUCACGCCGAUUAAAAAAUCCUUUAAAACAAAUGAUGUUGAGAGCACUGAGAGUGAAUCUAUGGUUGAUCUAAAUACUGAGCCUAUGCUCUUGUAGUAAUUCCUUCCAACGACAAUUUAGAAGGAACCUGAUAAGAGCGAUGAAACUGCGUGUGAAAGUAUAAUGGAACCUAAAGGUAUUACUUAAUAUUUCCUGAAUUAGUUAUCAUGUAAUAAUAAUCUAAAAAUUAUACGCGUUUUAGAAAUUACACAUGAUAAUUACAAAUUGACGUUGAACAAACAUAUUAAUAAUUAUGGAUUAUGUUGUUGUUUUUAUUAUUAUUGUUAUCAUUAUAUUUACUUAUAGACCAGUACAUUUAGCUUUUGAAACCUAAAAAAUUAUAGUAGGAUGAAACCCACUGGAAAAGAAAGAGAAUACAACGAAAAUGAAAGGAAAAAUAAAUGUCGAGAAGUGGUAGGGGAUUAGUGGGUGGUUAUGGGGAUAAAAACGGCUUAUGUCGAUUUCUGGCUAAACUAAAAGUCUUACGGAAAUAAGGGAAAUGGCAAAGUUGUAGGUAAUAAAAAGAUAUAUACAUUUUUUA